GAGGAAUCCUUUAACCCUCUGUCAGGUUAAAAAUUGGCAUCAGGCACAACCAUUUGCCCAUAACGCCUAGUUUCACCACACCCCCAAGGGAAUUCAGCAGUGAUAAAUAUUAAUUAUAAGCGACAGCUUGACUUAGUUAGAGAAUAGAGGGCCGGCCAACUAGGUGCCAGCCGCCGCGGCUACACCUGGGGCCCAAGUUAAUGAUCACCGGCGUUAAGCGUGAAUAAAAUUUUGACAAAUUAGAGUUAAAUUAACACUUUGUAGUAAAAAGCAUGUUGUUAAGAAAACCAAAAACGAAAGUUACUCUAAUAACAUUAUUACACGACAGCUGGGGCACAAACUGGGAUUUAGAUACCCCACUAUGCCCAGCCGUAAACAAUUGACUUACACCUUCCAACGCCAGGGAAAUACGAGCAAUGCUUGAAACCCAAAGGACUUGACGGUGUCCCACCCACCUAGAGGAGCCUGUUCUAGAAUCGAUGAUCCCCGAUACACCUCACCACUCUUAGCGUUUCAGUCUGUAUACUUCCGUCUUAAGCUUACCAUGUGAAUGCCGUCAGUAGGCCAAAUGAUUAACCAUCAAUAAGUCAGGUCAAGGUGCAACUAACGGAGUGGAAAAGCAAUUGGGCUACAAUUUCUAAAUUAGAACACACGAAAAUCAUGUGAAAUCAUGAUAUGAAGGCGGAUUUAGCAGUAAAAAGAAAAUAGAGAGUUCUUUUAAACCUGGCUCUGGGACGCGUACCCACCGCCCG
rnacentral:rRNA from 1 species